rnacentral:tRNA from 1 species
UCUGAAAUAGCUCAGUUGGUAGAGCAUCAGACUAUAAGCCGAAAGGUCCUUGGUUCAAUUCCGGGUUCCGGUA